GCCAGGCAUGGUGGCACAUGCCUGUAAUCCCAGCUACUCGGGAGGCUGAGGCAGAAGAAUUGCUUGAGCCCAGGAGACGGAGGUGGCAGUGAGCCAAGAUCGUGCCACUGCACCCCAGCCUGGCCGACAGAGUGAGACUCUGUCUCCU
ensembl:misc_RNA Metazoa_SRP Metazoan signal recognition particle RNA